rnacentral:lncRNA from 1 species
GGAGCUGUUCCUAUUCGGCCAUCUUGGCUCCUCCCGAGCACUUAUUUUCAAGGAGUCAUCAUUUAAAAUCUUAUUUUCUUAAUAAGAACACAUACUCCUUAAGAAGACAUACUUUUUUUGUACCCUUGUCUCUCUCAUUUAUUCCUUCUCCCUCUAUUCAUAAUUGACAUUAAUUGAACAUUCUUUGUUUUAUUAAUCUAUAUAAAAACAAUGUCACAUUUCAAGUGUUUAUCAUGUAAGCAAUGUUAUAUCGACUUAACGUGGUAGGCAGAAUAAUAGACCUUCAAUGAUGAUGGCCCUAUCCUAAUCUCUGGAACCUAUGAAAAUGCUAUCUUCGUGGCAAAGGGGACUUUGCAAGUGUGAUCAAGUUAAGGACUUUGAGGUAAAAGGUCAUUAAUUAGGAGAAGAUUUAUCUCAAGGAAACGUAUGAUCUGUGGGUAGUGUGGUCAAAGAUGACUUCUGCAGAUAAAAACAUCAUCUUGUAUGCAAGAGAUACGACCCUCUUUUAUAUAGUUGAACUGCAAAGACUACCUUACUGUUCACUCCCAGAAUGGCAAAAAGAUAGAUGAAGAUGGAGAAAUGUGCACCUAACACUGCAUCUUUAUGAGCAAAGGAUUUUCUUUGGAAAAACUGUGAUUAUAUGAAAAUCAUAGGACAUUUUAUUUGUGACUACAGGGCGUGGUGAAAACCUCUGCUACCAUACUGGAUACAAGGUCUUUAACUUCUCAGCACCAGUUUUAUGGAGCCCCCACCGCUAAGCAAGUAUGCAAAAUGCAGUGCUGCUUCGCAUUGGGAAAUCCCCAAUCUGGUGCCAAGAGGUUCAUAAAUACAGUAAUGGACCCUCUUAUGUCAAAAGUGAGUACUGUUUAACAGCGUAAGUUGGAACAGCCUUCAGGAUGCUUUGCAGCUGCAGUUGUUCCACUGCAAGACAUCACAAACUUCAUGAUGAUGGUUGUCACACCAGGUCCUGGAAAGGCAACCUACUUCAGUCUGCAAAGUGAACUAAAAGGGAAUGGUUGUUCAUACAUGGCCCUGAUGCCACUGACAUAAGAAACGCAAUGACAAGAGCGAUGAAGUAGGAAUUUGGUGGCAGAUGGUCAGGUCUGCAGGAAGUGUCCACCCAGCUUUGUUUGGCCCAUAUUCUGAAACAACUAGAAUAAACACUUAGUGUCAUAAUUUAUAAGCAUAUCAGUACCAAUAAAUCAGAAUCAUGCAAACA